AAGGGUCGGAUGUGGAAAGCCCAGGAAACUUGGACCACGUAUGGGCAGUGGAGCGGUUACUCAGAUCAGUGGGAAACUUUAUAACAAUGGACCUCAAAGACCUGGAAAGGGGGGAAACUUGUAGGCAGGAGGGACUGUGGGGAGGUGCUUAAAGCUGUUGCAGAGGGAGGGAGUGAUGGGUCUUGGCAGCUAAGAGAAUGCAAAAGAAGAAGACAAAGAUGGAAAUGCUGAGCAGAGCAAUGGAGACCUCCUUAUUCUGCCAAAGCAAAAGGAACUCAAUUCAGCAAGCGCUUACAUAUAUUAUGCCAUUUGUCUUACCGACUCUAAGACGUUGGUAUUGUUACUGCUAUUUUCUUUUUAUAACUGUAUCACCCAGACUUGCCACAACCGGUGCUAAACACUGCACAAGAUAAAACAAGAAAGAGAUGAAAUUGGAGAAUGGUUCUGCGUAUCUGUGUGUGAUGGGGUUUGGCAAGGGGAGAGAACAGCAGGAAACCGCAUCGGAAGCGGCGCAUGCUAGCUGGCCCGGUGAUAGGACCACCUCCCCCUGAGCGUCACACAGGCGACAAUGAACAUCCCUCGUGGAGCAGAGCGGCAGACACUGCACAGCCGGGCCAAAGGAGAGGCCUCCUCUCGCAGGAGUCUGGCCUUUCAAACACUAAGAAUGGUUGCAUUCAUUGUCCUUUUUAAAAUUUUUUUUUGCUUUAAUAAUAAUAAAAAACCCAAAACCUUCUAUAAUUUAUAAGCUAUUUUUUGCUAUCUACAUUAUAUAUAAAAUAUAGACUCUGUUUACGUAUAACACACAUCUUUCUUCCCUUGAUAAAUAACUCUUUAAAAUAUCUAGUUUACGUGCCUUGACCUUUUAUGUCUGGUUUUAUACAUAUGUAUAUAGAUAUCUACCCAUGUUUGUAAAACACAAUAAAUACAUACUCGACAAUCAAAAGCAACCAAACAAAUGUAAUUUUGGUUAUUUAAAAAAAAAAUGUAAAAGCACCAGGCGGCAAACAGAAAACCAUUAUUGCCAGAAACUUCUCUCUCCCCUGGGCAAGGCACAGGGCAGGUCGCUAACUACAUCUGGAUGCCUAAAGGAGGGGAGCGGGGAGAUAAAGGAGCCAGCCAGGUCGCUUGCUUUUAUUUUGUUUCUUAACCAGGGGUUAGACUCAGAAUCACAAAUAAGUCAUUCCAUCGAUAAGAAGAAACCAAGGGGCUCGUUCAGCAACUUAAGCCUUGUGUGGCUGGAGAGCACAGGGAAAGAGAGACAGCUACAUUGUGACACCAGGCUUAUUUUGUGGGCCUGCUGACACCUGCCCAGGCAAGCUUCUCAUUGCCCUACUAAAUGGCAAGAACAUGCCUCUAACAUGUUCUUUUUGUUAACUCACUGCUGGUGCAAACAGAAAGGAAAGAGUGCAUCAGAUUCACGAGUAUUCAGUAGUGCAACGCUUGAGUAGCCUGACCGAGAGGCAGCUGGAGCCGGAGGCUGGGAUGGUCCUCUCUAGGCUCCAGCCAGCGGGGACCCUGACGUGGGGAAGGUCAGGUGGCUACUGCUGUCCACUCCUGACUGAUG